UACGUAGGGUGCAAGCGUUGUCCGGAAUUAUUGGGCGUAAAGAGCUCGUAGGCGGUUAGUCGCGUCUGCUGUGAAAACUCGGGGCUUAACUCCGGGCCUGCAGUGGGUACGGGCUGACUAGAGUGCGGUAGGGGAGACUGGAAUUCCUGGUGUAGCGGUGAAAUGCGCAGAUAUCAGGAGGAACACCGGUGGCGAAGGCGGGUCUCUGGGGCCGAUACUGACGCUGAGGAGCGAAAGCGUGGGGAGCGAACAGG
rnacentral:rRNA from 1 species